ACUGACUGACUGACUGACUGACAGAUGCCUGAACUGCACAGGUCAACUUUACUUCCAGAAAUGACCUUGUUUCAGUGUGCUGACAACAUGCCUGAUAUGGUCACCACCAUAGAAAAGGAUCCUGGGAAUUUGAAGUUUAAGUCUCAGUACUUGGAAUCAAAAAUUGUUGAACCCAGCCUUUGUCAGAGAGAAGAACUGAGAAAAAUAGACACCUUCAAACCAGCAGAACUCAAGUGGGAUUCCAAACUCAUACUACCAAAAUCCCCCUGGCCACCGAAGUCAGCUUCAUACACGAGGCAUCGGCGCAGAAGAGGAGUGUACAGUGCUUUUAUGGAUCGUGUGGAGGAGAAGCUCACCAGGUCUUGGAUGAAAGAAUAAUGAGACAAAAUCAUUUUAAAAACCACAGUAGAGCUGUGAAGUGGACUGUAGAAGGAAUUUAGACAUUUUAAGUGAGAUUCCAAACCACAGGAAGUGGAAGCUUUCAGAUAAAAGGGAACUUCAGAGAACAUAGGAAGUAGUGAAUAUCAGUUUAUUACUUCAUAUGAAACUGAUUUUUUUUACUCAUCUGUCACAACACAAUGGAAACAUCACAUCAACCUGUUGUAUACCCAUAAAAUCACAUUUAUUUUCAUUUUACAUACAAAAAAUGAUAGACUGCUGCAGCUCAUUUGUUUGCUAGUUACUUUAGCAGGCAAAGAAGCUGCUGAAGAAUAUUGUUAACCCAGCUAGGGCUGGACAAAAUAUGAAUAUGAAUAGAAAUUAAUAAGUGGGGAUUUACCUAAAUGAUGUAUAUUCCCU
rnacentral:lncRNA from 1 species